rnacentral:rRNA from 1 species
UACGUAGGGGGCAAGCGUUAUCCGGAUUUACUGGGUGUAAAGGGAGCGUAGACGGCGAAGAAAGUCUGAAGUGAAAGCCCGCGGCUUAACCGCGGAACUGCUUUGGAAACUUUUUUGCUGGAGUACCGGAGAGGUAAGCGGAAUUCCUAGUGUAGCGGUGAAAUGCGUAGAUAUAAGGAAGAACACCAGUGGCGAAGGCGGAUGACUGGACGGCAACUGACGGUGAGGCGCGAAAGCGUGGGGAGCAAAAAGG